rnacentral:rRNA from 1 species
CCUACGGGAGGCAGCAGUAAGGAAUAUUGCGCAAUGGGCGAAAGCCUGACGCAGCGACGCCGCGUGGGGGAUGAAGGUCUUCGGAUUGUAAACCCCUUUCGGGAGGGAAGAUGGAACGGGCAACCGUUCGGACGGUACCUCCAGAAGCAGCCACGGCUAACUUCGUGCCAGCAGCCGCGGUAAUACGAAGGUGGCAAGCGUUGUUCGGAUUUACUGGGCGUACAGGGAGCGUAGGCGGUUUGGUAAGCCCCUCGGGAAAGCUUCGGGCUUAACC